GACGUAGGAUGCAAGCGUUGUCCGGAUUUAUUGGGCGUAAAGAGUUCGUAGGCGGUUCGUUAAGUCUGAUGUUAAAGAUCGGGGCUCAACCUCGGGAGUGCAUUGGAUACUGGCGGACUGGAGUGUGGUAGAGGCUAGUGGAAUUCCCAGUGUAGCGGUGAAAUGCGCAGAUAUCGGGAGGAACACCAAUGGCGAAGGCAGCUCGCUGGGACGGUACUGACGCUGAGACGCGAAAGCGUGGGGAGCAAACAGG
rnacentral:rRNA from 1 species